rnacentral:sRNA from 1 species
GCCAGGCACAGUGGCGUGUGCCUGUAAUCCCAGCUACUUCGGAGGCUGAGGCAGGAGAAUUGCUUGAACCCGGGAGGCAGAGAUUGCAGUGAGCUGAGAUUGUACCACUGCACUCCAGCCUGGGAGACAGAGCGAGACUCUGUCUCAG